UAGGGGCAGUUCUCCUUCUUGGUCCCGCUGACCUUGCCGUUCUUCUCGAUCUUGAGAAAGUAUUUGUUGUAGGAGUAGAGCUUCCUCCAGCGCACGUCUCCCUGGAGGUGGUUGUAGCUCCGCACGUGUCUCCCCGCACUGGGAGGCGAGGAGAAGGACGAGGACGAGGACGAGGACGAGGACAAGGAGGAGGAGGAGGAGGAGGAAGAAGAGUUGGUGGCCUCCGGGUACCGCAUGUCCUGGCCGAGGUCAUGGCAGGUGACAGCCACGGAAGACACGAGGAGCAGCAGCAGGAGGCAGCAGCGGCGGCGGCAACGGCGAGGCAGGUGGGAACAGGCGGAGGCACCAUUUGUCAGCAUCCAUUUGCACAUUGUACUGGACCUCUGGGCGCUGGAGAGAGGCUCGUCAACAGAAACAUGCUGGAAGGGGAAAGCCGGGGAAGGGGCACGCGGAGAGCUGGUGCUGCCCGCUCCUGCUCAGCCCCCUCUCCGCUCUGAUCUGGCCUGAAGUAUUAAUGACCAUCUCUCCUUUUAAACGGUCUUGAUCAACUACAGGUAUGGAAUAAGAGG